rnacentral:rRNA from 1 species
UACGUAGGGGGCAAGCGUUGUCCGGAAUCAUUGGGCGUAAAGCGCGUGUAGGCGGCCCGGUAAGUCCGCUGUGAAAGUCGGGGGCUCAACCCUCGAAUGCCGGUGGAUACUGUCGGGCUAGAGUGCGGGAGAGGCGAGUGGAAUUCCUGGUGUAGCGGUGAAAUGCGCAGAUAUCAGGAGGAACACCGAUGGCGAAGGCAGCUCGCUGGGACGGUACUGACGCUGAGGCGCGAAAGCGUGGGGAGCGAACAGG